CUCGCCUCGAGUCAGGAGGAAAGGCGGGUAAAAAAUACAAUUCUUAUUAUUGUUCUAUGCGCUCCCAGGACUUCUCAGCACUGAUUCUGCGGGUAGGGGAGUCUCUCUCUCUCUCUCUCUCUCUCUUUCGCUGUUAGUGGGCUUUCCUUUUCCCCCGUUGGCGGGAAAGUGGAGCCCUGGCUUCCCUCAGCCCCGCGACUGCGGCGCGAGAGAGGCGCGCGCACGAGGCGCACGAGGCGCUUGCUCCCCUCAGCCGCCUCCUCCUCCUACUCCUCAGCUUGCUUCCUCCCUCCGCUUCUCGCCGCGGACUUUAGGCUCGGAAACCUUCGGCAGGGCUUCCCUCCUUGAGGAGAACGAAACCUCUCCCCCUCCCUUUGCUCCUGCUCUGCCUCGCGUAGAGCGUCCACACGGCAGCAGGAAAACAAAAGGCGUCGCCACUGCUGUUGCUGCUUCCUCCUCCUCCUCCUCCUUUCCUCCAGCGAAUGGGGACUGUGGUGGCGGUCCCAAAGCGUGCUGCUCCAUCCCUUGCUUGGGAGACCUCAGGCGUCCCGCAAGGUCUCUGCUGGAUUUGGCACAUUACUUUGCCCACUUCCUUGGCCCAACCAAGAGGACCAGCAGCUAUAAUGGCUGCUGGCUUGUGAACUCGGAAAGCUCCCAAACCCAAAGCCUGCCAAGCCGGAGGAGGCCAUGAAGAAAAGCCGCAGUGUUCUUGCGGUGACUCCGGAUGAGAAACCCAAGGAUACUUUGGACCCCAACUGGUGCAGCCGCUCUUGUACAUCCUCCAACAUGCUGGGUGCCGAUCUGCGGCGGGGCCGUCGACGUCUCUCCUCCAACCUACAGGUCUCACCAUGGAAACCUGGAGACAGAGCCCGCUCACCAGAACCAGACAAUGUUCAGCGACCGACCACUUUGCCACUACGAAUCCCUCCCCGAAUUUCCAUAACUCAUGCUGACCCAGACAGGUAAGGCGAAAGAAUGUUACAAGUUAAUCUGAGAAACAAGCAAAGGAGCACCAGGUUGUAAUG
rnacentral:lncRNA from 11 species